AUAUAAGAUAAACACAAUAGAAAGUGGGUGAUGAAUGGUGAAAAAAACCCAGUGCAGGCAAGCUUCUGUAAAGAGGUCACUCCAACCCCGAAUAUAUACAAAACAAGAUAAAAGGAAACAGAGCGCCGCAAUCACUAUAUAGGUGAUAUAAUAGGGUUAAAAGAAAAUGAAUAAAUUGACAAAGAAAAAAAUAAAAUAUAUAAGGAUAAAAAAUAACAGAAAAAUUUAUUAAUUAUAAAAUAUCAAUAUUGACAGCACAGAACAUGUGCAAUAUAAAAUGCCACAAUAGGCUAAAUAAGACCCUUAGGUACAGCAGUUAAAAAACAAUAAAGUACUGGAUGUGCAAAGUGCAAGUGCCUAAGUGCAAAUGUACAGAUGGAAGUGCACAAAAAAACAAUCCUCCAUAAAUUCAAAUGGUGAACUGAAGACAAAAUAUUGCACAAGCAUUAAACCAGUAGAUAUGUAAAAUAAAGCUGCCGAUACCAAACUGCAGGGUCCACA